rnacentral:lncRNA from 1 species
UCCUUUUAAAUUUUAAUUGUUUUACCUUUGUGCGAUUAGUAUUAUCAUCAAUUCAUUUUAUUCAUUUAUUGAGUACUAGACUAUCAACAUAUCUAUAGUCCUCAAUAACAAUCACACGUUUGAAAUUAAAAUAAUAUAUUUUAUACUUACAGGGACAGUACAUCCAGGAACCGUAACAAUCAGAACAGGAAAUUGGAAAUUUGUAGAACUAUUAAUGAUUAGCUUUCUCCUGAAUAGUAAUGAUUGACUACUUUCAAGAAAUGGUUGAAAACAUCCUCUCCAGAAAACCGCUCCUUUCUUCUAUAUAAAUAUGAUGAUCUACAAGCAGGUUAUCUGGUUGGGCCUUAUGGAAUAGCGUAUGGUGCAAUCGUUAGUUCUGGCACUAAUGAAUUAAGUGAUGAAAUAAGAGGCUACAUAACUGAACAUGGCUACAAGCUUCUUCAGACAAAACCGAUUUCCAACGCCAUUUAUAUCUCAUGUCCGACAAUACCUUGGUUAUUGUACUUUGGCGUGUGGCUAGUACUUAAGAUUAUAUAUCCCAAGAUAUAUAAGUAUAGUAAAAAACAUGCUCUCAGUGCGUACCCGGUGGUGGAGGUGUACAGAAGAUGCUCUGUAUCGCUUAUGGCCCCCUUGAGUCGUCAGGAUUAUUUCGUCGUUCCGGAAGCAGAGUCGAAUCUCAACCGUUCCUCGUCUUGUACCAACUUGUCUUUCGCUUUGAUGGCGAACCGGUCCCAUUCGACCAACCCGUCCAUGUCCCACUCCACUCAUCCUCCUGGCGUAAAGCAUGCCGUCGAUAAAACUGCAAUGUUAAACUCUGUUCCUGUUAAAAAUUCCAUUCCCCAAGUGGCAAACGGAACCAGUAGGCAGGGCUGAGAGUGAUGUGUAGGCUUCUAAUGUAAAGACUGAUUAGUGUUAAUAUAACGUUCCUCUUUUCAAGGUUGUAGUUUAUAUAAUAUUCUCAAAUACUUCAUUGUCAGCGAUCCUAAGUAAAGUGUUGUGUUACUAGUCCUAAUUCUACUAAUUUUAAAUAUGACUAUUGUUACUCUUUUUAACAGACCACUGUUAUAAAAAAAAUAUUGCUAUUAGAAGCUGUAAAAUGCCAAAGAGUACUGUAAAAAGAUCAUCAUAAGUGUUAUUGAAAACUGCCCUAGCUGUAAGCAUUGGUCCCACUUUUGGGAAUAUAUUUCAUUAAAUUAGGUUUAACCCAUUGCGGAUCAAUUUGUUCGGCUGUGUUUGUCCCAGCGGGCCCUUCGGCAACAGAGCAGUAAUUCUUUAGCUUCUAUAUACAACUGCAAUCUAUAUAAUAUUUUCAAAUGUGUUUGAGAAAACCGAAGGAAGAUCAUUGUUAAAAACAUUCAGUAGACUACAAAAGACUCACUCAUUUUCGUAGUCUACUUGAUAUUUUUAAACUAUUAGGAGGUAAAAUUAGCAGCAGAUACAUUUUAUAACCUGAGCUUGUCACCACUAUGGCCAGCUACUGCGUGAUGAGAUAUUUUGUCAUUGAUCUGUAAUGGGUUAAAUAGUCUUGUAUCCAUGGUAUUUUUAGUGGUCUUCAAAAUAGUCCUAACUAGUUUUAGUUUUAUUACGUAUUAUAAGAUUUUUUGUCAAUUAGUAAAGGAUAAAAGUUUUUGCUCACAUCAAAUCAGUUUUAUCUCGAAUGACAAGUGUUUUUCAUUACUGAUAUUUUAGGACAUAAACUAUAAUAGAUUAUCUAUUAUGUGCAGUACAAAUAAAUACUUCCUACUGGAAAGCAAACAUUAAGAAACUGAUUAUUUUAUAAUAGUUACGGAUAUGUCACUAUACACAAACUAUGAAGAAUAUUGAUCAAUGCUUUUAGUUUAUUUACUUGAUUUUAUAAGUUUGUGUGAUACUUUAUUGAAAUGUAAUCAUGAUUCCAUAUUGUAUGUAAUUUUACAGAAUUGUUUUUGACUGUUUGAUUCAUUUAAGCUUUUUUUUAUUUGUCUCAGUGCAGUGCAUGAUGAAUAGUGUAUUAACCAGAAACUGUUAUUCAAGGCAUAAUGGUUAAAUCCAGCUUUUUGUAGAACGUGUUGGGGAGAUUAGAUGAUAAAACUUCAACCAGUGUUACAGACACUGGAUAGGAAUUAGGGGUAAAACGAGUUGUAUCCAGUUUUCCCCAUCCCCAUCAACUAAAUAAUUCAAGAAAUAUCAACCUAGCUGACGCAAGCAAUCUUAGUGCAAGCCAUG